rnacentral:misc_RNA from 1 species
AACGGUCUAUACCUGCGGUACCUGCGGAGGGAUCAUUAAUGAGAAACUGCCCCUCGCGGGUAGAUCUCCCACCCUUUGUGAACUUACCUUUGUUGCUUUGGCAGGCCCGUCUCCGGACCGCCGGCUUCGGCUGGCCAGUGCCUGCCAGAGGAUUCUAAAACUCUGUCUGUCAGUGUUGUCUGAGUCUAUAUACAAUCGUUAAAACUUUCAGCAACGGAUCUCUAGAUCGGAAGAGCACAC